rnacentral:rRNA from 1 species
CGGGGCUAAAACUAUAUGCCGAAGCUGCGGAUUUGCAAUUUAUUGCAAGUGGUAGGGGAGCGUUCUGUAAGCCGAUGAAGGUGUAUUGAGAAGUAUGCUGGAGGUAUCAGAAGUGCGAAUGCUGACGUGAGUAACGACAAUGCGAGUGAAAAACUCGCACGCUGAAAGACCAAGGGUUCCAGUCCAACGUUAAUCGGGGCUGGGUGAGUCGACCCCUAAGGCGAGGCCGAAAGGCGUAGUCGAUGGAAAGCAGGUUAAUAUUCCUGCACCAGUGCAUACUGCGAUGGGAGGACGGAGAAGGCUAGGC